AGUCGCGUGAUCGGCCUCGAGGCUACGGGACUGGUCAGAGGUAUCUCAUGCGACAACAGUGGUGUUCGCUAAAAAGUUUUGCCCGAAUUGACGAUUAAGUUUCUUAAAUGUUUACGAGAUUCGUUAAUUUUACAUUACAACCAUUUGAACUUUGAGAACAAAUAACUUGAUACAUAUUUUGAGAAGAUCGACGAUUGCUCAAGGAAUUUUUCGAGAUGCAAAAAGAAGCCACCCAAUGAGAGUUACUGGCGAAAGAUUUCCUCGCUGCUUGUCCCAUACGUAAUAAUAAUCGGUUCGAGACUCGGGACCUGUAUAUGUACAUAGUGUGGCACAUACAUACACUAAACUUCGGACUUUUCCGGCGCGCAUUACACCACAUACAUUGUACUUAGUCUUACGCUUCUGUGUGAAAGUUCCCUGUUCAAACAGGUUACGAAUCGGUAGUAUUUUUAUUCUUUUUUCCCCCAUUACUAUUCUUAUAGUAAUGUCGAAUCAACACGAUGACGUUUUGUAAAAUUUACCAACGAUAAAAUGGAACUACAGUGGCAGUGAAAUUAUCGCGACGAGUUAUCAUAUACGAUUAAUGAACAGACAGUCACAUACGUAAUUACGUAGUGCACACUAAACUGGCAAGAUUGAAAAUCAUCGAGUGUUCGUCUUCUCUCAGUGAACAGUGUAAUAAACGAAACGAUCAGUCUAUUAAAUUCAAGGAAAACGGCGAGGAAACGUCUACGCGGUAAAUCUCGUAGAAUGACCGAUCCGAAGAUAGAGAUGCAUUACACGCCACCGACCUCCGACACCAUUCAAACGAAACCUUUCCCCAUUCGAGGUGAACGAGCGAACUUUGUGAACAAGCCUCAUGUGAUCGCUAUGGUGGGUCUGCCGGCUCGCGGCAAAACCUACAUAUCGAAAAAAUUAUGCAGAUACUUGAACUGGAUCGGUAUUAGCACGAAGGUCUUCAAUCUCGGAGAAUAUAGGCGGCACGCAACCACUGCCUAUCAAUGCCAUGAAUUUUUCCGUCCUGACAAUAUAAAAGCGAUGGCAAUACGAACCCAAUGCGCGAUGGAUGCCCUCAAAGAUGUCUGUCAAUGGUUGGAGAGCGGGGACGGCGAGGUGGCUGUCUUCGAUGCCACCAAUUCCACUAUCGAAAGACGUCAAUUGAUUCGUGACAUCGUCGUCGAAAAAAUGGGCUUCAAAUUGUUCUUUGUUGAAUCUGUGUGCAAUGAUCCAGAAAUUGUUGAACAGAAUAUUAUGGAGGUAAAAGUAAGCAGUCCUGACUAUGCGAACAUGAACAAGGAAGAAGUGUUAGCUGACUUUAUGCUAAGGAUCGAGCAUUAUCAAGAAAAGUACCAGCCGUUGGAUGAGAAUCAUGAGAGUGAUCUAUCCUUCAUGAAGAUUUAUAAUACUGGCGAGAAGGUGUUGGUUCACAAACACGAGGGUCACAUACAAAGUAGAAUAGUUUAUUACCUCAUGAACAUUCACAUAGUACCACGUACAAUCUACUUAACCAGGCACGGUGAGAGCAAAAUGAAUCUUGAAGGUAAGAUAGGUGGAGAUUCUGAGCUCAGCGAGAGAGGUUUGGAGUAUGCCAAGGCUUUGGCUGCCUUCAUCACUAGUCAGGAUAUACAGGGACUGCGAGUGUGGACAAGCUGGCUGAAGAGGACUAUACAGACUGCAAACGACGUGGAUGUGCCUCAAGAAAGGUGGAAGGCGCUUAAUGAAAUUGAUGCGGGUAUCUGUGAGGAAAUGACUUACGAGGAAAUUGCGGGAAAAUAUCCGACUGACUUUGCUGCCAGAGAUCAGAACAAAUUCUCGUAUCGCUACCCAAGAGGAGAAAGCUAUGAAGAUCUAGUAGCAAGGCUAGAGCCAGUGAUAAUGGAGCUAGAGCGACAGGGUAAUGUUCUGGUGGUUAGUCACCAAGCAGUUUUGCGGUGUCUGCUCGCCUACUUCUUGGAUAAAAGCGCGGACGAGCUGCCAUAUUUACAAGUACCGCUGCACACUAUCAUAAAAUUAACACCUGUUGCUUAUGGUUGUAAGGUGGAACAUAUUCGAUUACCCAUAGACGCAGUGGACACGCAUCGGCCAAAACCAAAGGUAGAAACGAUUAGAUUUGAAUCAUAGUAAUCGUUCUUAUACUUUUCCUCCUCCUGACCCAUACGUAGUACAUCCUACGCAUAACUUGCUGAUCCUAGUUUGGAAAAGGUAAGAAAACGAAAGGAGGCGUGUGUCUCUGCUCGUUAUGAGCCUCAUGAAUAAACUAUAACAAGCCCUCACGUUUCUUGUUUUAAUGUUCCCAGAAUGCCUGACUGUUCAACUAGAUUGGGGUCAUUUCCUUGUGUCUAACAUUAUAUCUGAUCUACCUUAACGCAUUUUACUCGCUCACUUUCUUUUUCUUCCUUUAUUUCCUUCCCCGAAUUCAAGGUUGCAAAUCAGAAAAACAAAAAAAGCUGCGCUGCAUGCAAUUUCCUUGUAUCUAGGUCGUAUGGAUACAAUGUGAGACGUCGUAGCAUAAAUCUAUUUACAAUAUUGCACUGUAAUAACGAUUAUAUCUAUUACGGUCCCCGUGUAAAUGUGUAAAGAUGGUGGGCAUUCAUUUGUUCCAAGUUAAAACAUUCAAGACUGUACGCAUCCGUGGUUAAAGGACAUCGUCGCAAUUUACUGUAACGAAUCUCACGUAUACCCAUUGCGAUUCCAGGAUAUCUAGAGGAACGAUUCCGAGGGGAUGGAAAGUUGCUUCACACGUGAUAACGACGACGUUAUAGCACGACAGAGCUUAUCCUUGCGAUCGUUCCGAGGUGCUGAAGACGUAUUCGUUUGGCAGCUGGCUGUCAUUGCAUGUUCGACGUAUUGCAACAUGCAUCCGGUUUACUUUCCACACCGAACAAUUUAGAGACGAAAUAUAUGUAACACCGAUCGACGAAAAAUCUUGUACUAAUUACGUGACCGAAAGAUACCCUUUUUUUCUCUUGUAAUAUAGAACGUAUGCUAGCAGUGUAGCGUGCGCGAGCGCUUUAUUUUCUACUUUCAAGUUAUAACUGAAAAAGCAGAAAUAUUUGAUCAAUUAAUUAUGGAAAGGUAUCGCGGAACUCUAGCAUACGUAUAGAAAGAUCGUGCGGAAUGUCGUCAUUAGUUUCAGCGAUAUUUGACCCUAUUCGAUUUUUGGAAUACAUCCAAAUACGUGGUUCUUUGUAAUCUAAUCGUUGUUAUCGUAAUAACAAUGAAUCGAUCCAUACGGGUGUUUCUUAAAAUAAGUAGUGAUUGUAUGACAAUGGUUUCAUAGAAGAGUUUUCUUUUUCUUUUUUUCUUUUUGGAUACCAUGAUUCUGACAAAUUGUCAACUCAAUGAGGUAUACCGAUUAGAAAACAAUUGUGAGAUGUCAAUCUAUUACAAAAAUUAUUCUCCUGAGCAAGAAUCAUACUCUAACUAAAAAGUUUUGUCAACUCGCAUAAUAAUCGUAGUUGUCGGUACGAUGGGAUAAGUUUCUAUUAUGUAUGUAUAUUUGCUCAGACGAUCGAGUUGCGUAAAAAGAUGCUAGACAAGUAUAAUUUAUUUCAAGAGAAAUGUACAUAUUUUUUUAAUGCCCUUCACGACAGAAGCAAAUAAAUUUACUUAAAAAUAA